rnacentral:lncRNA from 1 species
AUUGAUGUGGUGGUUCAACACUUCAACUCUUAAGCAAAAGGUUGAGGGUUCGAUUCCUAUCUUUGAUGAAUGGAGAAAAUUUCGUGGUCAGUUCUCUACCGCUUAGUACCCUGACCGUGGAACGGAGGAUCAGUGGAACAAAGGAAUAGUCUCACGGCUGUCGGCUGUGGGGAUACCUUGGAAAACCAAAAGAUCCACGGGCUAUUUUAAAACAAAUGGCCAGUAUUUGAUAUUUUGCCAAAAAUAGCAAGUUAGUUAAAUUAUUUCUGCAAUAUAAUCAUUUCCUAAUUUGGAUAAUUUUAGACCAUAUAGUUUAAAUACAAUUUAUAUACAAUAUUGAUACAGUUUAUAUACAAUACUGAUACAGUUCCCAACUUGGGUCAUUUGGC